GCGCCCCGCGCUGCCACAUCCAGCUUGGGAUUCUGGACUGGAGGAAAGCCGGGGAGGGAGCCUUCUGGGGGGAGAGGGGGAUGAGUAGAGAGGGGAGGACCUGCUUGCCCCCCGACCGCCCCCCUCCGGGUUCUUCGUGUGGUCACCCUUGAAGAAGGAUGUCCUUGGAACCACAGUAGAGGGACGGCCAUCUUGCCCGCGCAACCCAAUGAAAAGCCGCUAGCGGCACACCAGAAGGAACUGGCGGUCAACCAAUCACCGAGCGACAGCACGACCUGACGCGAAAAAGGCCCACCCGGACCUCAACCCGGAACAGCUGCAGCUUAAAAACCCCACCCCACCACACCUGGGGGCGACUCCCCUGACUCCUCUUUCUCUCCCUGAGUCACGGAACCUCGCCCGACACCUUAGUUCCCAAAUAAAGCCUUUGCUAAAAUUUUUUAGCCUCUGACUCCUAUCUUUACCCUGCCUUACGCCUGACCCUAACACUUAUAAAUACUGGAGACUUGAAUUACAUGCAGGCCUUAAGCUGAUGGGAGGCAAAGGGCUUUCUAUGAACUCUGUUUCUGUUCUGUGAACACCACCCCAGGCUGGGUUACCAGACCUACAAGUGUCCCUGCUCACCCGAUGCGCCGCCUCACCCCCAGACUGGCCCAGGUGGGCCCCCUGUGCUCUCAGCUCCCUGUGACCCCAGGCUUUUCGCACACACGGUUACACCGAUCACUUUCCUUGAUGAUUCCAGUCUCUGCUGCCCCUGGAGGGCCAUCGCAUCUUCAGGGUCAGGCCCUGUCUUAUUUGCGGGUGUAUCUCCUGGGGCCUAGCCCUGAGCUGCCACCUGGCAGCCACCCAGCAGCCAUGUAGCCGUCACCACAGGAGCCUCACCAGAGCCGCCUCCAGCCAGCAAGUGCUGUGUGCCUGGAGUGGUAGAAAGCUAAAUAAAGCUCCAUUUCCCAGACUGCCUCCUUCCAGAGUGGUGGGUGCCUAUCGUGAGCCAGCGCUGAGACCCUCACGUGGGACUUGAAGGUGGAAGGAGCCAGAGACCGCCUUCCUGUGCCUUGGCCGCUCCCUUCUGACAGGCAGGCUCGUGCAGACGCGCAUCCUUUCCUGCACUGGUGUCCAGGGUGCGGUCACCACUGGUGGGGGAGGCCCUGCCUGCUCCCCGGAUCACGGCCAUGUCGGCGUGUCCCCUAACGCAGAGUGCCCGAGGCAAGCUCCGGACGCCCACCUGCCUUUGCUGCUCAGGCCAGGGGAGCAGAUCCUCUCAAGCCUCAGCCUCCCCUCCUCCCCUCCCCCAUCCAGCCACUCCAACCAUCCCAUGAGCACCCAACCCCCUGUAUUAGUCACUUUCUGCUCAAAAUACCUCAAGGGUUCCAAUUUCCUGCCUGAAGUCCAGCUGAUACAACCAUUCUUAUUACCCUUGUUUUACAGAUGAGGGAACUGAGGCACAGAGGUGUGAAGUGACCUUCCCAGAGCCCCACAGCCAGAGAGUGAGAGCCAGGGUCUGAAGCCAGGUGUCUCUGAGCCCAGGGCCACCACACCCCCUUGCCUGGGUGGAAAUGCAUUGUGGUGUGCCUGGAGGUGGCUGGGCGGGGUUGUAGGCCCGAGGGGGUUGGGCUCACUGCCUUGGCAGGUUCUGAGCAGGUCCUGAGAAGGCAGCAUAAGCGGGGCCAGUUCCAGGGGACCCUCCCAGAGGUUGGGGCUGACUCAUCUAGGAUGUGUGGG